GGCACAAUGCCAGGCGCCGCCGUGGCCUCGCCUCUCCUCCUCUCGCUCUCCUCGUCCUCCUCCCCCUUCCUCUCCUCCUCAUCCACUUCCUUCCUUCCACCUUCCUCCUCCGCUGCUCCGCUCCCGGCCAGCAGGAAGGCGGCGGUCUCCGUCCUCCGCGCUCUGCGGGCCGAGGCGGCCACCCUCCCCGUCCUCUCCUUCACCGGAGAUAAGGUCGGGGAGGUCACCCUCGACCUCAAGUCCGCGCCGCCCUCCACCGCGCGCGCCGUCGUGCACCGCGCCAUCAUCACCGACCGCCAGAACGCGCGCCGGGGCACGGCCUCCACGCUCACCCGCGGUGAGGUCAGAGGCGGAGGGAGGAAGCCCUACCAGCAGAAGAAGACGGGAAAGGCGCGGCGCGGGUCGCAGCGGACCCCGCUCCGCCCAGGAGGUGGGGUCGUGUUCGGCCCCAAGCCCCGCGACUGGUCCAUCAAGAUCAACCGGAAGGAGAAGCGCCUCGCCAUCUCCACCGCGCUCGCCAGCGCCGCCGUGGCCGAGGACGCCUUCGUCGUCGAGGAGUUCGACGAGGCCUUCGCGUCGGGGCCCAAGACCAGGGACUUCGUGGCCGCUCUGCAGCGGUGGGGGCUCGACCCCAAGCAGAAGGCCAUGUUCUUUGCCACGGAGUUCGACGACAAUGUGCGGCUCAGCGGCAGGAACAUCGGUUCUCUCAAGAUGCUCACACCAAGGACGCUCAACCUGUACGACAUCCUCGACGCCCGCAAGCUCUUCUUCACUCCUGCUGCUGUAGAAUACCUCAACUCCAGGUAUGGAGCCAGCGCUUCUGAUGACUACGAUACUGAUGAUGAGGACGAUGUUGGAGAGGAACUGGUGGAGCAAGAAGUAGAAGAAGGCACCACAGAGGAGGCUGCACAAGGUACAUAGCUACACAUUAACAUUUUGCUUUGCUGAUUGAAAUGCUCCACUUGAUAAUACCUAUGCUGGGCCUGGGCUGGUCAUAUAUGGAGUUAUGGACCCUGCUAGUAACUGAUAUCCUUCAGCUAGUACAUGGCUAAACAGGUAGCAAGGAGAAUAGCAAAUAGUAGUGAACAAAGCAGUAAUGCCAAUUGAAUUGAGUUGAAUUGAAUCACCAUUGUUUGGGGCAUUGGCAUUCUAUCCACAGUGUAAAUUUGAACUGCCUACACUUUGUAUAAACAGUUCAUGCAGUACAUAGCUUGAGAUUUUAAGAGCACAAAGAUUUAACUGAAAGUUAAUUGUUGAUGACCAUGGCCACUCAACAUAUUUCUCAUUUUCAAAAUGUCUUUCCGUUAAGAUCAUAUAACGCUGAGUAAAUUGCAAGAGGGGUUUAUAGAUAUCUGUUGCAGUGGAACCAAUUGAUAACAGUAAGGUAUCAUAAAGCUGAAUUGUAUUGAGUGUUUACCCCCUAAGUGUGCUAUUUUCAAUGAUGAAGGUCAGCAAGAUACCAAAGUAAAGAAAUAGAAAACAGUAGCCAUAGAAAUAUUAUAUCACAAUGCUCUAAGACAGAUACCAAAUCCUUCUCUCAUCAUAUACUCGUAUUCUUCCCCUUCAUAUUAAGGUCUACCAUAUCUCUUUCUCAUACUGCAUUGUGUCUGUACAGAAUGGCUGUUUGCCUGUUUCUCCUUUAUGCUUCGUUAUGGCAAUUGUACAAUAACAUAUAUCGUUUUAGAUUCAAUGCUCAUUCACAGUUCCAGAAUCAAUAAGUAGACAAUUAUUUCUGGUGGUGUGAAAUAUCUUGGACUUCAGGUGCAGUGUGGUUGGAAAUUUAGAUCUCAGCCUAGCAGAGAGGGAAGGAAGGAAUAUGUUGAAUUCAGUUAAACAAUAGCCUUUUUCUUUAACACUAGUGACAUAAGGGCUGAAACGGUGUUAAAGAAGUAUCCUCACUUCUUUCAAGCGUGUUAAUGUUACCUAAUCAAUUGUUUUUUGUGUGUU
rnacentral:lncRNA from 1 species